rnacentral:lncRNA from 1 species
GGCCUUUCUAGGAGCCAGCUUGCUUUCAUCUUACUGUUUUGAUUGUGCCUCACAAGGGACAACACUCCGAUUGUCUAGGAGGAGGAAGGUCAGGGACAGAAAAGUAAAAGCCAGGAGCAGCCUGUCCUGUCUGCCUGGGCUGCUGGGGAAUGAUUGUCAGUGAAUCGAGUUGUCUGUGGAGCCCCUGAGCAAAUUCUCCCAGUGGCAGAUCUCGCAAAAGGGGAGGAAGGCCUUCACCGCUGAACCCGAGCUUUGCCAUUUCGAAGUGCUGAGUCACCUCGUCCUCUCAGGGUCAGACACUUUCACGCAGGAAACGUCCUGCAGAGCACCGCAGCGGGAGCACCGAGCUGGUGUAUAGGUGUGAACCAAGUGCACGUCUAGUUCCCUUGGAGGCCAGAAAGAAGGCGGUGUCAGAUCCCCAGGAACCAUAGUUACAGAUGGUUGAUGUGGAAACUCAGAGAGGAUGCCACUGUUUUGAACUAUUUUGAAGGCACAGCCACCAGAGCUUUAGGUCAGAAGAGGUCCUUGGAACUGGAAUUACAGGUGGCUGUGAGCCUCCAGGUAGGUGCUGAGAAUCAAGCAGCCUGGCUCCUCUGUAGGAGCUCUAAGGAAUGCUCUUACCUGCUGAGCCAUCUGUCCAGCCCUGAUUGUCCUGGCUGUUAAUUGAGGAAGGAAGACUUACUCUGAGGGAGGGCUGAGCCAGUCCCCAGGCUGCUCCCUGAAUGGUAUGUAGAGGAGGGGAGCCAGCUAAGCACUGACCAGCGAGGGUGUGCACAUUUUCUUUGGUCUUUGUUUUGAAUGUGGUGUGGCUGGCUGCUUCAAUUCCUGACUUGAUUUCCUCAAAAGGAUAGGCUGUAACCCAGAAUGGUAAACUGCCUU